rnacentral:rRNA from 1 species
AUUGAACGCUGGCGGCAGGCCUAACACAUGCAAGUCGAGCGGAUGACGGGAGCUUGCUCCUUGAUUCAGCGGCGGACGGGUGAGUAAUGCCUAGGAAUCUGCCUGGUAGUGGGGGACAACGUUUCGAAAGGAACGCUAAUACCGCAUACGUCCUACGAGAGAAAGCAGGGGACCUUCGGGCCUUGCGCUAUCAGAUGAGCCUAAGUCGGAUUAGCUAGUAGGUGAGGUAAUGGCUCACCUAGGCGACGAUCCGUAACUGGUUUGAGAGGAUGAUCAGUCACACUGGAACUGAGACACGGUCCAGACUCCUACGGGAGGCAGCAGUGGGGAAUAUUGGACAAUGGGCGAAAGCCUGAUCCAGCCAUGCCGCGUGUGUGAAGAAGGUCUUCGGAUUGUAAAGCACUUUAAGUUGGGAGGAAGGGCAGUAAGCUAAUACCUUGCUGUUUUGACGUUACCGACAGAAUAAGCACCGGCUAACUCUGUGCCAGCAGCCGCCGUAAAAC